CGGGUUCGACUCCCGGCAGACGCAUUUGAUCACUUUUUGUACCGUAUUGCCCCUUUUCCCUUCUUAUUAAAAAUUAAAAGAUAAACUUAAAUAUUUUUCCACCUCGACACACGUGCACACUUGCCGCUUGGUUAUAAUUCCGAGGGAAAAUAUUUUUGUUUAAUGCUAUAAAAUAUUCUUUCUUUGCAACCCUGGAACUAAAACAUUCUCUGCUUCUACAAGUCCCUGCCCCUUGAGUUUUCCGCUCAUUACAAGUUGGCUCAGAAAACAUCAUGAACCUUGUGAUGUUCAUGCAUUGCUAAAUUAAAAAUGAGUGAAUGAUUCAUCAAGAGGCGUUGUUUCUUACGCCAAACAGACAACAUACCUCCAUAGCAAUCCUUGAUUUUGGGAUCACUUAGAAGUUCUAUGUUGGAUUUUGGACUUUCAGAUCUGGUGUAGUUGCAGUAGCACUUGAAGAAGGCAAAGGAAGACACUGUUAUGGUCAGCAUGCAAGGAUGGGAGUUUCUAUUAAAUCAUGUUAUGAACUACAGAAAAAACAAGCAGGUUCAAGGCAUGGAUAGAAGAUUGAAGAAAGAUUUGUUUAUUUGAUGCAUAACUGAUUAAUAUGUAUGCCUCAAAAUACAUGGUUUUCCCUGUUUGGUUUAUGCUUAAAUAUUGGGCAAAAAACAUAUAUGUACAUGAUAAGAGGGUAUAUUUACAGAACAUGACGAUGUUUUUCAGUUAACAAAAUAUAUCAAUAGACUUAUUACAAAAUCUAUACGAAUUAGGUAAAUUAAAAAGAAGCAAAUAAAACACAUUAAAUAAGGUAAGGAAAUUGUUUUACUUAUUUUAUUCAUGUUUCUCUCUCCAUUCAAAAUUUAGAGAUAUAGUUCCCUGAUUUUCUCCAACUUUUGCUUCCUUAUUUCAUCCACUUUUCUCUCACCAUUCAAAAUUAAGAGAUAUUGUUACCUAAUUUUCUCCAACUUUUACUCAAAAACUCCAUUAUAAUCGGUAAUUUUUAUGUAAAA